rnacentral:lncRNA from 1 species
UAUUACUUUGGGUCCAUAUCCAGCUUUCCCCAUAAGAAGACACUUUAACAUGACAGACAACUGAUAAUUAAAUGUUUGAUUCGUGACUCUCAUGAAAAACUCCAUACAAAAACAGUUGCAAAUAGAAAUCUUGAACAACAUGCUCUUAAAAUUUUGCUUGCUGAUUCUUUUAAUUGAACACUUAUUGUUCUAUUAAAAUUUGGAUAUUGGC